rnacentral:rRNA from 1 species
AUUGAACGCUGGCGGCAUGCUUUACACAUGCAAGUCGAACGGCAGCGCGGGGGCAACCCUGGCGGCGAGUGGCGAACGGGUGAGUAAUGCAUCGGAACGUAUCCUGUAAUGGGGGAUAACGUAGCGAAAGUUACGCUAAUACCGCAUACGCUCGAGAGAGGAAAGUGGGGGAUCGCAAGACCUCACGUUAUAGGAGCGGCCGAUGUCCGAUUAGCUAGUUGGUGGGGUAAAGGCCUACCAAGGCGACGAUCGGUAGCUGGUCUGAGAGGAUGAUCAGCCACACUGGGACUGAGACACGGCCCAGACUCCUACGGGAGGCAGCAGUGGGGAAUUUUGGACAAUGGGCGAAAGCCUGAUCCAGCCAUGCCGCGUGCGGGAAGAAGGCCU